rnacentral:rRNA from 1 species
AUUGAACGCUGGCGGCAUGCCUUACACAUGCAAGUCGAACGGCAGCACGGGAGCAAUCCUGGUGGCGAGUGGCGAACGGGUGAGUAAUAUAUCGGAACGUGCCCAGUCGUGGGGAUAACGUAGCGAAAGCUACGCUAAUACCGCAUACGAUCUAUGGAUGAAAGCGGGGGAUCGCAAGACCUCGCGCGAUUGGAGCGGCCGAUAUCAGAUUAGGUAGUUGGUGAGGUAAAGGCUCACCAAGCCGACGAUCUGUAGCUGGUCUGAGAGGACGACCAGCCACACUGGGACUGAGACACGGCCCAGACUCCUACGGGAGGCAGCAGUGGGGAAUUUUUGGACAAUGGGCGCAAGCCUGAUCCAGCAAUGCCGCGUGCAGGA